rnacentral:snRNA from 1 species
UGGUCCCAAGGCUCGCUUC